rnacentral:rRNA from 1 species
AGGCGGAGCUUGCUCUGCUGGAUCUUGGCGAACGGGUGAGUAACACGUGAGCAAUCUGCCCCUGACUCUGGGAUAAGCGCUGGAAACGGCGUCUAAUACUGGAUACAAGCUGCGAAGGCAUCUUCAGCAGCUGGAAAGAAUUUCGGUCAGGGAUGAGCUCGCGGCCUAUCAGCUUGUUGGUGAGGUAAUGGCUCACCAAGGCGUCGACGGGUAGCCGGCCUGAGAGGGUGACCGGCCACACUGGGACUGAGACACGGCCCAGACUCCUACGGGAGGCAGCAGU